GAAUCUUAGACAAUGGGCGCAAGCCUGAUCUAGCCAUGCCGCGUGAUCGAUGAAGGCCUUAGGGUUGUAAAGAUCUUUCAGCUGGGAAGAUAAUGACUGUACCAGCAGAAGAAGCCCCGGCUAACUCCGUCCCAGCAGCCGCGGUAAUACGGAGGGGGCUAGCGUUAUUCGGAAUUACUGGGCGUAAAGCGCACGUAGGCGGACUGGAAAGUCAGAGGUGAAAUCCCAGGGCUCAACCUUGGAACUGCCUUUGAAACUCCCAGUCUUGAGUUCGAGAGAGGUGAGUGGAAUUCCGAGUGUAGAGGUGAAAUUCGUAGAUAUUCGGAGGAACACCAGUGGCGAAGGCGGCUCACUGGCUCGAUACUGACGCUGAGGUGCGAAAGCGUGGGGAGCAAACAGG
rnacentral:rRNA from 1 species